AAGGGAGACCUAAUUCAGGUAUGGGACGAAAAAAAAGUAGUCGCUACCAAGAAUCAAUCCCAAAAGGUCGGAGCGAGGUAUGAGGCUUUCAAACUAGGUUCUGGGUUCAAACAAGACCUGAAUCAGGAACAAGGGCUAUUAGCUCAGGUGGUUAGAGCGCACCCCUGAUAAGGGUGAGGUCCCUGGUUCGAGUCCAGGAUGGCCCACCUGCACAGGUGGCAAAAACAAGAGAAGCGAGGAAUCAGCACCUUAUCUUAUCUAUAUAUAAGAGAGAAUGCUGGCUCUGAGUAAAGAGUCCAGAGGAACCUUGAAAACUGCAUAGAGCUAGGUGAAAAAGCCAAAAAGGAAGACCGCAA
rnacentral:tRNA from 1 species